rnacentral:rRNA from 1 species
AGUGAACGCUGGCGGUAUGCCUAACACAUGCAAGUCGAACGGCAGCACAGUAAGAGCUUGCUCUUACGGGUGGCGAGUGGCGGACGGGUGAGGAAUACAUCGGAAUCUACUUUUUCGUGGGGGAUAACGUAGGGAAACUUACGCUAAUACCGCAUACGACCUACGGGUGAAAGCAGGGGAUCUUCGGACCUUGCGCGAUUGAAUGAGCCGAUGUCGGAUUAGCUAGUUGGCGGGGUAAAGGCCCACCAAGGCGACGAUCCGUAGCUGGUCUGAGAGGAUGAUCAGCCACACUGGAACUGAGACACGGUCCAGACUCCUACGGGAGGCAGCAGUGGGGAAUAUUGGACAAUGGGCGCAAGCCUGAUCCAGCCAUACCGCGUGGGUGAAGAAGGCCUUCGGGUUGUAAAGCCCUGUUGUUGGGAAAGAAAAGCAGCAGGUUAAUACCCCGCUGUUCUGACGGUACCCAAAGAAUAAGCACCGGCUAACUUCGUG